rnacentral:rRNA from 1 species
GACGAACGCUGGCGGCGUGCCUAAUACAUGCAAGUCGAACGCAGUGGGGACGGGUGAGUAACACGUGGGUAAACUGCCAUCAGAGGGGAUAACACUUGGAAACAGGUGCUAAACCGAUACUGAUGGCUGGUCCCUGGGUGCAUUAGCUAGUUGGUGAGGUAACGGUUCACACAGGCGACGAUGCAUAGACGGCCUGAGAGCGUGAUCGGACAAACUGGAACUGCGACCCGGCCCAGACUCGUACGGUAGGCAGAAGUAGGGAAUCUGCGGCAAGGGACGAAAGUCUGACCGAGCAACGCCGCGUGUGUGAAGAAGGUUUUCGGUUCGUAAAACUCUGUUGUUAGGGAGGCGUUAUCUAACCAGAAAGCCACGGCUAACUACGGGCCAGCAGCCGCGGUAAUAC